rnacentral:rRNA from 1 species
UACGAAGGGGGCUAGCGUUGCUCGGAAUUACUGGGCGUAAAGCGUGCGUAGGCGGUUCGUUAAGUCUGUUGUGAAAGCCCCGGGCUCAACCUGGGAAUGGCAAUGGAUACUGGCGAGCUAGAGUGUGUCAGAGGAUGGUGGAAUUCCCGGUGUAGCGGUGAAAUGCGUAGAGAUCGGGAGGAACAUCAGUGGCGAAGGCGGCCAUCUGGGACAACACUGACGCUGAGGCACGAAAGCGUGGGGAGCAAACAGG